rnacentral:tRNA from 1 species
GGAAGGGUGACAGAGUGGUUUAAUGUGUUUGUCUUGAAAACAAUUGCUAUUGUAGCCCAUGGGUUCGAAUCCCAUUCCUUCCU